AGUCGAACGUGAAAGCACUUCGGUGUGAGUAGAGUGGCGGACGGGUGAGUAACGCGUGGGAAUCUGCCCAGUAGUGGGGGACAACUACCGGAAACGGUAGCUAAUACCGCAUACGCCCUAUGGGGGAAAGGCUUCGGCCGCUAUUGGAUGAGCCCGCGUCAGAUUAGCUAGUUGGUAGGGUAAAGGCCUACCAAGGCUACGAUCUGUAGCUGGUCUGAGAGGACGAACAGCCACACUGGGACUGAGACACGGCCCAGACUCCUACGGGAGGCAGCAGUGGGGAAUAUUGGACAAUGGGCGAAAGCCUGAUCCAGCAAUGCCGCGUGUGUGAAGAAGGCCUGCGGGUUGUAAAGCACUUUCAGUUGGGAAGAUGAUGACGUUACCAACAGAAGAAGCACCGGCUAAAUCCGUGCCAGCAGCCGCGGUAAUACGGAUGGUGCGAGCGUUAAUCGGAAUUACUGGGCGUAAAGCGCGCGUAGGCGGCUAAGUCAGUCAGAAGUGAAAGCCCCGGGCUCAACCUGGGAAUUGCUUUUGAUACUGCUUAGCUAGAGUUUGGUAGAGGAUAGUGGAAUUCCAGGUGUAGCGGUGAAAUGCGUAGAUAUCUGGAGGAACAUCAGUGGCGAAGGCGACUGUCUGGACCAAUACUGACGCUGAGGUGCGAAGGCGUGGGGAGCAAACAGGAUUAGAUACCCUGGUAGUCCACGCCGUAAACGAUGAGAACUAGCCGUUGGACAUCUUGCAUGUUUAGUGGCGCAGCUAACGCGAUAAGUUCUCCGCCUGGGGAGUACGGCCGCAAGGUUAAAACUCAAAUGAAUUGACGGGGGCCCGCACAAGCGGUGG
rnacentral:rRNA from 1 species